rnacentral:rRNA from 1 species
AUUGAACGCUGGCGGUAUGCUUAAGACAUGCAAGUCGAACGGUAACAGACCUUCGGGUGCUGACGAGUGGCGGACGGGUGAGUAACACGUGGGAAUCUACCUUGUAGUGGGGGAUAAGCCAGGGAAACUUGGACUAAUACCGCAUACGCCCUAAGGGGGAAAGGAGCAAUUCGCUAUAAGAUGAGCCCGCGUCUGAUUAGCUAGUUGGUGAGGUAAAGGCUCACCAAGGCGACGAUCAGUAGCUGGUCUGAGAGGAUGACCAGCCACAUUGGGACUGAGACACGGCCCAGACUCCUACGGGAGGCAGCAGUCGGGAAUAUUGGACAAUGGGGGCAACCCUGAUCCAGCAAUACCGCGUGUGUGAAGAAGGCCUGCGGGUUGUAAAGCACUUUUAGUAGGGAAGAUAAUGACGUUACCUACAGAAAAAGCACCGGCUAACUCCGUGCCAGCAGCCGCGGUAAGGUGCGCGAGU